CUCUCUAUUAUUUAGAAGUUUUUAAUGUCUUCUCAAGUUUUGUGCUUCUUUUUUCUUCAGAAUAAAAAUAAUUUAAGGCAGUAAGAAGGGAACAUUAUUUCCAAGAAACAAUAUUAAAUUUUAAGGGCCAGGGAUUUAGCCCAGUGGUUCCGCCGCCUGCCUCUCAAGUGCAAGGUCCCAAGUUCAAUCCCCAGUACCAAAAAAAAAAAGUUUAAGAAACAUGCUGCUCUGAUCAUGACUCUGGGAUUCAUACACACAUUCUGUAUGUGAACAGCAAAUAUUAAUAAUACUCACACCUGCCUUGGGGAGCAUCAGGAAAAAUUCUAUUGCUGACCACACAGGGAUCUUAGAGAAUAUCAGAAACAUCCAACACCAAUGCCCUGUUUCAUCACUCAAUCCAGAUCAGAAUCCCAAAAGGAGCGAUAGAGUUGAGAGGAUAACUUGACAAUUUAAAAACUGGCUGGCAUUUUUACAGUAUUAUUCACCCUAGGUAAUUAAAUUUACUGUUGGCUUCAGAAGUAUAAUAGAUGCCACAGAUACAGAACAAAAGAUUCAGAGGUAAGCCAAGCACAAGGAAGAACUUCCUGAUCAUCAGAGCUCCGACGCAGGGUAGUUAGACACAGGGCUGGCGCUCAGGUGAAAGCUGCAAGACCCUUUUGCUAUGCAGGAUGCUGGUGAGAGCUGAGAGGCUAUAGAAGACGCAGGCUGUGUCAGGAUGAUAUGCAAUGUCCCUGCCCAGCUCUGGGACUCUGAGGCCCAGAAUUGCAGUGCCAAGUUUUCAUUUGAUCAAGAAGAGGAGAAAACUGAUGCUCGGAAAAAGACGAAAACGAACACAGCUAAUGAAGGCAAACCUCCCGGGUUGGGUGCAAGACCUUGCCCUAGCCAAUAAGGAGAAUACUGCCCAGGUGCUCACAAGGUCCACUUGUGCUCAUAAAACUUCCUGGCCCAGAGAAACUCCCGGAACAACCUUCACUAGGAAAGACUGACAUGGAGACACAGCCCAACAUGCAUUUGUCACCCAGGUGAGCUUAGCCCUCCUGUGCUAGGGGCUCUCCGUGUAUAAUGAUUCAUCACUGUUCUCUCAUCUUUGUAAGAAAUGCUAACUCUGAGGUGACACAGUCAGUUAAGAGCAGGCCUUGGACAAGUAGCCCUGACCUAGUCCAGCCCUCUUUGCCUCGUAUCUCACUUGUCCUCGUAUUACACAGGUCAGCAGAGAUCUUGAAACAACACAACAGCUAACAGCAUCUCAACCUGACCCUUACUCACCCUGACCUUAAUGGAAUGCGCUAAACUUUUGCCUACAUGUCUUAGCUGUAAGAAUUAUUAAAUGGUGCGCUCAUAAACUAGAGAAGGCUGGCUCCGCAUCACCGAGCCACUCUGUUCACCCUCGCAUGAUUUUACUGAUGUCUGCAAUCACUUCGCACAAAGGUGCUGUCCUUUCUGAGGGAGCAACUGCUUCCCUGGUUAGCCUCACGCCUCUGUCUCCUUAGGUGGAUGCACCCAAGCUCACAGCCCGGUCAAAUUGGUUCACGCAAGCCUUUUCUACAUAGAAAAAUAUAGCUGACUUUUUAAUCAAAAUGAGCCUCUGGUGAGAGAACAGCAGAGGAAAUGGGACACACACACAGUCAGAGUGGUCGGAAGGAACCUCCAGCCAGAGGCGCUUGACAAACUGCCAGGGUCGCAGAGUCACUUUCAGAGAAGGUCUAAAACCAGCAGUGUGGGGGAGAGUGUAGCUUCGCAGCAGUGUAAAACAGAGUGUGCUUUCAGAAUGGGACUUAAACUGGAAUCCAGUUCCUUACACUUUUGUAAUGGCAAACAAUUCACUGGACAGACUUCCUGAGGAGACGGAGGUGCUGACUCUUGGAACAGCUUCACCACGCAUCCCAAAAUAGGCAGUAACGCUAUCAAGGCUGUGCUACUUCCUAUCAGGGAAAGUCUCUGCCAAUACCUAAAUCGCUCUCAUACUCCCAGUGAGGUAUUAUUACUACAAACAGCAACCCACUGAUUCAUUCGAAUCUUUGCCUUCCAUAAAAUCUCUUCAGCUGUCUUCUUAAUUAGGUUUCAUUAGUUGCAUUUACACUUUCCAGGAGGAAUGGAAUAUUAAAAUUCUUUCCUGCAAACACUGGUCAAAUAACUAGCAGAUACACGUUCUACAUGAUUUUGUAUACUACCUUGUGUACCCUUUCACAGGAUCCCACAUUGUGUUUCAGACAAAUCUCAAAUCCUUUCCUGAGAUACUUGAAUGAAAGAUAACUUUAAAGAAAGCAAGAUACAAGAGAAGAAAAACUGCAGUGAAGGAACAUCACUCAUUUCUCAUUUGUACUGCAUUGAAAAAUAACUCAUUUCACAAGAUUCCCACAUAUACAUGUGGUCACCACUGAUUUAAAAU
rnacentral:lncRNA from 1 species